GACGAACGCUGGCGGCGUGCCUAAUACAUGCAAGUCGAACGAGAGCGCCCGGUGCUUGCCCUGGUCAAUCUAGUGGCGAACGGGUGAGUAACACGUGGGUAACCUGCCCAUCAGAGGGGGAUAACAUCCGGAAACGGAUGCUAAAACCGCAUAGGUCUUCGAGCCGCAUGGCUUGAAGAGGAAAAGAGGCGCAAGCUUCUGCUGAUGGAUGGACCCGCGGUGCAUUAGCUAGUUGGUGAGGUAACGGCUCACCAAGGCCGUGAUGCAUAGCCGACCUGAGAGGGUGAUCGGCCACAUUGGGACUGAGACACGGCCCAAACUCCUACGGGAGGCAGCAGUAGGGAAUCUUCCGCAAUGGACGCAAGUCUGACGGAGCAACGCCGCGUGAGUGAAGAAGGUGUUCGGAUCGUAAAACUCUGUUGUUAGAGAAGAACAAGUGCUAGAGUAACUGUUAGCGCCUUGACGGUAUCUAACCAGAAAGCCACGGCUAACUACGUG
rnacentral:rRNA from 1 species